AAAAACGCUGGCGGCGUGCCUAACACAUGCAAGUCGAACGGUAACAGGUCUAGUUUACUAGAUGCUGACGAGUGGCGGACGGCUGAGUAACGCGUGGGAACGUGCCCUAAAGUGAGGGAUAAGCACCGGAAACGGUGUCUAAUACCGCAUAUGAUCUUCGGAUUAAGAAUUUAUUCGCUUUAGGAGCGGCCCGCGUCGGAUUAGGUUGUUGGUGAGGUAAUGGCUCACCAAGCCGACGAUCCGUAGCUGGUCUGAGAGGAUGACCAGCCAGACUGGAACUGAGACACGGUCCAGACUCCUACGGGAGGCAGCAGUGAGGAAUCUUCCACAAUGGGGGCAACCCUGAUGGAGCAACGCCGCGUGCAGGAUGAAGGCCUUCGGGUUGUAAACUGCUUUUAUUAGUGAAGAAUAUGACGGUAACUAAUGAAUAAGGAUCGGCUAACUACGUG
rnacentral:rRNA from 1 species